AAUGGGUUUCUAUUCUCAGUAUAGAGGAUGACGAUCAUCUUCAUAUUAGUUUUUGACUAUGAUGUGGCUCAAAGGGGGAGAUUGAAGAUGCUGCUUCAUGCCUGAGUUGUUGAGUUCACAUGCAUAGUCAAAAAGGGGGAGAUUGUAGAUGAUAUUUCCAGAGAGGUUCUGAUGUAGUUCGUGAUGUACAUCAGAAGGUGUGUCAAGAGGUAUGUCAAGACGUACGGCAGGACGUCGAGUGGAGAAGUUGCUUACAAGGAGAUUGUCUAAGGUGAUUGCGUGUGUAAGUAGAGAUUGGAAAAUGAAAGAGAAUAUCUUGUUGAAGACAAAUGACGUUUUCCAUUAAGCAAAGAGACUUUGGUUGGAGAAGUGUUACUUGGAGAGGAAUAGGAAGUUUCCUUAUAUGGGAAUGAAAAUUCAUUAAGGUGCAUUUAAUGAACUUGGAGAACAAGUCUACGGUUUAUAUAU
rnacentral:lncRNA from 1 species